ACAGCAGCCGCGGUAAUACGGAGGGUGCAAGCGUUAUCCGGAUUCACUGGGUUUAAAGGGUGCGUAGGAGGGUAGGUAAGUCAGUGGUGAAAUCUCCGGGCUCAACUCGGAAACUGCCGUUGAUACUAUCUGUCUUGAAUACCGUGGAGGUGAGCGGAAUAUGUCAUGUAGCGGUGAAAUGCUUAGAUAUGACAUAGAACACCGAUUGCGAAGGCAGCUCACUACACGAAUAUUGACUCUGAGGCACGAAAGCGUGGGGAUCAAACAGGAUUAGAUACCCUGGUAGUCCACGCCCUAAACUAUGGAUACUCGACAUACGCGAUACACUGUGUGUGUCUGAGCGAAAGCAUUAAGUAUCCCACCUGGGAAGUACGACCGCAAGGUUGAAACUUAAAUAAAUUGACGGG
rnacentral:rRNA from 1 species